rnacentral:rRNA from 1 species
UACGUAGGGGGCAAGCGUUGUCCGGAAUCAUUGGGCGUAAAGAGCGCGCAGGCGGUCGUACAAGUCGCGUGUGAAAGCCCCCGGCCCAACUGGGGAGGGUCACGCGAUACUGUUCGACUUGAAGGCAGGAGAGGGAAGCAGAAUUCCCGGUGUAGUGGUGAAAUGCGUAGAUAUCGGGAGGAAUACCAGUGGCGAAGGCGGCUUCCUGGCCUGUUCUUGACGCUGAGGCGCGAAAGCUAGGGUAGCAAACGGG